CCGGAGACGGCCUGGAGCUCGAGCUGUCGGACCUGAAACUUGCGCGGGAGCUACCCGGUGGAGCGCGCGGAAAGCUGAGCCUGCAGUCGUUUAGGAAGAUGUCGUCUCCGGAGCACCCGCGCGCGACCACGAGCGCGACGCCGCAUCGCUCGCACACGAGGGGCCAGAGUGUGUAGUCGCUCAGCGAGUGAUGCAGUUGCUGAGGACAGGUGCUUGUCACGUAGUGACUGGCGGGAAGUGACUGCAGCUGCCAGGGAUACUUACCCAACAAACAUUAUUAUGGAUAGUCUGUCUAGCAUAAAAUAAGAAAAAAAAAAUAGGUCUUAUUCCAAAUACACGGCCAGCACAAGAUAGAAGAAUUUUUGCUGUGAUAAAAUAUGACUAGAGACCCGUGAAUUUCGCGGGUUCAAUGACCUCCAGGAUAGACUCCAAUAUCCUCUACACACUCGGGCAAAUGCCAACUGUUCAUUGGCUGUUGACUUGUGAGUCGUCUCGACUGGGUGGCCUGUGAUUCGACAUUUCUAUGAGUGAGGGUCUCUAAUUGGCCCUCAGUCCUCCAUAUUAACAGAGAACCAAUGACAGAAGCAGCACUAAGGUAUAAUUAUUUGAAUUUUAGCAUUACACGAAAUGAAUCCGCGAAAUUCACGGGUCUCUAAAUAUGACUAGAGACCGGAAAAAUUCGCGAAUUCAUUUCGCGAUAGGCUAAAAUACAAAUAGUUAUUACACCUCAGUGCUGCCUCUGCUAUUGGCUCGCAACUCACCUGGAUGACUCCGGGCCAAUGAGAAACACCCGACCAAAGCUUUUUAUCGAAUCACAGGCCACUACGUUGGGACGUCUCGCAACACAGCAGCCAAUGAGUGGGUGACAUUUGACCGAGUGUACGUAGAACUAUGGAGUUCAUCCUACAGGUCAUUGAACCCGCGAAUUUUUCCUGUCCCUAAAUAUGACAUCUGCCAUAAUAACUGAGAACAUCUAACACUCAAGCUAGUAUUUAAAAAAUGAAUUAAAAAGAAUAGGAAAAACAUAUAAAAAGGCUACUUGAGCUGGAAGCAAAAUACCACGACAACAUUAACACGAUGAAGUCUAAUAUGGCUGUCGGCAAAUCUUCCUAUGCCUAAUGCGUCCAUAAAAUGCAGUAUAGAAUGCGCUAAAAACAGCGUAGGUCCAGUAGAAAUCUUGUAUUUCCUAUUUAUCCUUGAAGUGCAUAAAAUUAAGUUUAAUUUAGAUACAAGGAAGCAAGAUAUGGAUAUGUCUAGUUAUCUUUUAGAUAUGCGAAGAAUUAAAAAGAAACGUACUAAACGGUUGAAGUCAAACUACAUUUUUGAAAGUGUACCCAAACGUAUAAAUGAUAUUUUGGUUUUUCAGCAUGAUUUACCAAGUAAAUAUUUUAAGUAAAUAUUUUUGAAAUUUAGUUUUCUAAGGUUUUCGUUUUUUCUUUCUUUUUUUUUUCCGUCGUACGAAACGACACGACGAAAUUAUAAAUAUGAUCUACUUGUUGCGGGCCGUAGGGGCGCUGGCGUCACAGUGACCUGGUAUUUCAUUGGCUACUGAGCGAGUCGGUCCUGUCGUAUGUCGUGUCGUGUUCGUCGUGGCAUUGUGACUCCAGCUAGAUAGUUUGUAGAAGGUUCGCAUUUAGGUUGUUAUUUUUGAUAGACCUGCUUAGAAUCUUCUGUGAACUAAUUUUACCAGCAAGUUGGAUUCUCAAUAGUUAUGAGUUUCUUUCUCGUGUGUAAUUGGACCAUGGAUAAUUUGACACGCCCCCGCACUGCUCUAAGCCAAUGGGAAACGUUUUUUUUUUUUUUUCAUCGGUGUUAAUGAAUUCUGCUUGGCUGAUUUUAAAAGAAAAUUUCUUCUACGCAUCAGAAUGGAGAUCCUACCAUGUUAGAAUAGGAACUGGGAAUUUCGCGGAUUCUCUGAUCUCUGGAAAAGACUCCACCGUCCUAUGCAUACUUGAAGAAAUGUGGCCCGUUCAUUGGCUGCUGACUCGUGAGACGCCUGAACUGGUUUACUCGCGUUUCGUUACUUCUUGGGUUGAUGGUUUGUCAUUGGCUCAGGGUACUCCAGAUAAACUGUGAGCCAAUAGCAGUUGCAACUUGAAGGUAUAACCGCGAAAAUUCCAGGUCUCUACAUACAAGCGGUAUGUUUCACUGCUAGGAUACGUUUCAAUUUAUUAAACAUACUCGAGACUGCCUCUUGUGUUGAACGCCAUAUUCCUUUUUGACUCAAGACAUAUGGAAUACAUACACUCGAGAGCUACAUUUUACCAUUGGCUAGAUGUAUUAUAGGGCGUGUUAAAAUGAUGACUACCCAAUCGCAUACGAAGGAGUAUUACACAUAUAUUUGGAGGAAUACCUGGUGGCAUAUACAGCGAAAUCAUCUGAUAUCUAAUCACUGUGUAUCCUUACGCAGAAUUGUUAAAUAAAUACUUGCAUAAAACCUAAUGACAUGUGUCCACGCGUAUAUCUCACGUGCUAAUCAUUAGAAUUAGUAUGGUAAAUAUGUUUUAAUCGUGCCAAUCUUAAUUAUCCGUACAAAACAAACCAUGGCCGUUUGCUUCAUCCAACUUCUUACAAUUUCAAAUUAAAUAUGAUUAUGACAGUGAAAAUAUAUUUUCGGACAAAA